UGGCACUCACAUGAGUUUUUGUGGUAGGGUUAUCAAAAGAAAAAUUGGAUUUUUCUACAUAUUAUAGCAUUGAUUUUUUGUUUCUCAGUUAGCGCGGGUUUGUGACAUGUUUUUUUUGCCAGAUAUACUACUUACUAGACUGUUUUUUUUCUUCUUUUUAUUUGAUAACCGUGGAAAGGAUAACUUUUAGUGAUUUGGAACAACUGAAUAAAAUUCAAUUAUAUCGUUUAGUUUAAAGUUUAUGAGAAUAUACCAGUUGUUUUGCGUAUUUUAUUUGUAGAAAUCAAAGGUAUGCCUUCAAAUAUCUUAAUGCAUAUGUAAUAUUAUGUAUCUAUCGAGAGCCUGGACAGGACUUAGCGAAUCAAGAUCCAGGCCCGUAAAUAUACUUUGGGCCUAGUAUUUAACUCUUUGUCUGGACUACACAAAGUCCAAACAUAUCUAAAACCCACCUGUAUUUUGGACUCUGCAGUUUUUAUUUUAACGUUAUCGUAAAUGAAGAAAAAAGGACGAAGCCAACGCGUAGGUAUACAUUUGUGUUUAUAUAUUCUACGGUUAGAUUUCAA
rnacentral:lncRNA from 1 species